UACGUAGGGUGCAAGCGUUGUCCGGAAUUAUUGGGCGUAAAGGGCUCGUAGGCGGUCUGUCGCGUCGGGAGUGAAAACUCAGGGCUCAACCCUGAGCGUGCUCCCGAUACGGGCAGACUAGAGGUAGGUAGGGGAGAAUGGAAUUCCUGGUGUAGCGGUGGAAUGCGCAGAUAUCAGGAGGAACACCAGUGGCGAAGGCGGUUCUCUGGGCCUUACCUGACGCUGAGGAGCGAAAGCAUGGGGAGCAAACAGG
rnacentral:rRNA from 1 species